GCGCACCAGGCGCGAAACCUUUACAAUGCACGAAAGUGUGAUAAGGGUAUCCCUAGUGCUUGCCAUACGGCGGGCUUUUGCCAAGUGUAAAAAACUUGGAGAAUAAGUGGUGGGCAAGACCGGUGCCAGCCGCCGCGGUAACACCGGCGCCACAAGUGGUGAUCGCGUUUAUUGGGUCUAAAGCAUCUGUAGCCGGCUGGGUAAAUUUCUUGUGAAAUUGUGGUUUUAGUAACUACAGCGCGCAAGAAAAACUGCUCGGCUAGAGACCGGGAGGGGGCAAGAGAACUCCUUGGGUAGCGGUAAAAUGUGUUGAUCCUCGGAGGACUACCUAUGGCGAAGGCACUUGUCCAGAACGGUUCUGACGGUGAGAGAUGAAAGCUAGGGGAGCGAUCGGGAUUAGAUACCCCUGUAGU
rnacentral:rRNA from 1 species